GUGAGCAUAGCUGCCUUCCAAGCAGUUGACCCGGGUUCGAUUCCCGGCCAACGCAUCUCUUUUCCUCUUCCCGAGGAAAGCCACACGGGAUGCUUUUUUUUUUUUUUUUUUUUUAAAGCCUAAACCCAAACUAGGAACCGCGGGCACUGCCUUCUCUCCCGGACUCAUCUGUCGCUGCGGAGCCCCUUCUCCUCCCAGCCGCGUUUGGGUCCAGUGUCCGACUCGGAAGGCUUUCUUUCCUGUCUGCCGCUCCUCCCCGCCUUUCUUUCCCCGCUGCCACCUCUGGAGGAACCUGCGCGACGCCGGGUGCCAGGUACCGAGUGCCGAGCGCCGGGAGCCGGGUCUCCGGAGGGCCCUGCGUGCAGGUGCGCGAGGUCCGUGCGGCUGCCCUGCGAGUGCGUCGGGAGAACUGCGCUUGCAGGCUGCCCGCUGGAGGAGAAUCCCGGGAUCCAGGCUGUGCCUUCAGCUCUGUAUUCCAAAUGUCCACUCUCCACCUUGCGGUCUCCCGCACCCAGGACUCAGGAGGCGCUCCUGCUUUCUUCCUCCCGGGCUUGUUGCUAGUCAGCUGUGGCCAGCCAGCGUUCUCAAGUGCACACUCUUUGCGCCGCCUUACUACGACCAACUUGUGCCCACAGAAGGGAGCACUGGCCUGACAAUCAGAACACCUGCUCUUUUGUCACUAAGAAGCUGUGUGCUUCUGCGCAAGCCAUUUUUCUCGGGGCUUCGGUUUCUUCAUCUGUAACGUGAAGGAGCCAAGCUACAGUUUCUGAGACCCUUUGCGGCUCUAAAGUCCUUUGAUGUAGUGCCCUGAGGAGCACCUGGGGCACAGUAUGUGCUCAUUUUUAGAAAAGACAACAUUUUUCCUGCAUAUAAGAGUAAUAUAUAGUCCUUCUAGAAAAUAUGGGAAAUAAGCAAACCACAAAAGAAUAAGAGGCACCCAUAUUUCCAUCACCCAGGGAAUCCCCAUUGUUAAUGUUUUGCUGUGUGCUUAGCUCUUUGGCAUUUUUUAAAUGCAAAGUUGGAAUCACGGUGUGCGUACUGUUUUUUAAGCUACUUGAGUGUUACUUAAAAACCUGAAUAUUUCUAUAUUCAUUGAAUGUUAGUCUAAAACGUUACUUUAAUGGCUUCGUUGUGCUAUAUUAAAUGGCCACAUUAUAGCUUCUUCAACGAA